UACAGAGGGUGCGAGCGUUAAUCGGAAUUACUGGGCGUAAAGCGUGCGUAGACGGUUAUUUAAGUCGGGUGUGAAAUCCCCGGGCUCAACCUGGGAACUGCAUUUGUGACUGCAUCGCUAGAGUACGGCAGAGGGGGAUGGAAUUCCGCGUGUAGCAGUGAAAUGCGUAGAGAUGUGGAGGAACACCGAUGGCGAAGGCAGCCCCCUGGGUCAAGAUUGACGCUCAUGCACGAAAGCGUGGGGAGCAAACAGG
rnacentral:rRNA from 1 species